rnacentral:rRNA from 1 species
UACGGAGGGAGCUAGCGUUAUUCGGAAUUACUGGGCGUAAAGCGCACGUAGGCGGCUUUGUAAGUUAGAGGUGAAAGCCUGGAGCUCAACUCCAGAAUUGCCUUUAAGACUGCAUCGCUUGAAUCCAGGAGAGGUGAGUGGAAUUCCGAGUGUAGAGGUGAAAUUCGUAGAUAUUCGGAAGAACACCAGUGGCGAAGGCGGCUCACUGGACUGGUAUUGACGCUGAGGUGCGAAAGCGUGGGGAGCAAACAGGAUUAAGAAAC